CGAACGCUGGCGGCAGGCCUAAUACAUGCAAGUCGAACGGCUCUUCGGAGCAGUGGCGGACGGGUGAGUAACGCGUGGGAAUGUGCCCUUAGGUACGGAACAACACAGGGAAACUCGUGCUAAUACCGUAUGUGCCCUUCGGGGGAAAGAUUUAUCGCCUUUGGAGCAGCCCGCGUUGGAUUAGGUAGUUGGUGAGGUAAAGGCUCACCAAGCUGACGAUCCAUAGCUGGUCUGAGAGGAUGACCAGCCACACUGGGACUGAGACACGGCCCAGACUCCUACGGGAGGCAGCAGUAGGGAAUCUUGCGCAAUGGGCGAAAGCCUGACGCAGCCAUGCCGCGUGUAUGAUGAAGGUCUUAGGAUUGUAAAAUACUUUCACCGGGGAAGAUAAUGACGGUACCCGGAGAAGAAGCCCCGGCUAACUUCGUGCCAGCCGCCGCGGUAA
rnacentral:rRNA from 1 species